GAGCUACCAUGCAGUCGAGCGGUACAGGGGUAGCUUGCUACCCGCUGACGAGCGGCGGACGGGUGAGUAAUGCAUAGGAAUCUGCCCGAUAGUGGGGGAUAACCUGGGGAAACCCAGGCUAAUACCGCAUACGUCCUACGGGAGAAAGGGGGCUCCGGCUCCCGCUAUUGGAUGAGCCUAUGUCGGAUUAGCUAGUUGGUAAGGUAAUGGCUUACCAAGGCAACGAUCCGUAGCUGGUCUGAGAGGAUGAUCAGCCACAUCGGGACUGAGACACGGCCCGAACUCCUACGGGAGGCAGCAGUGGGGAAUAUUGGACAAUGGGGGCAACCCUGAUCCAGCCAUGCCGCGUGUGUGAAGAAGGCCCUCGGGUUGUAAAGCACUUUCAGCGAGGAAGAACGCCUAUCGGUUAAUACCCGGUAGGAAAGACAUCACUCGCAGAAGAAGCACCGGCUAACUCCGUGCCAGCAGCCGCGGUAAUACGGAGGGUGCAAGCGUUAAUCGGAAUUACUGGGCGUAAAGCGCGCGUAGGUGGCUUGAUAAGCCGGUUGUGAAAGCCCCGGGCUCAACCUGGGAACGGCAUCCGGAACUGUCAGGCUAGAGUGCAGGAGAGGAAGGUAGAAUUCCCGGUGUAGCGGUGAAAUGCGUAGAGAUCGGGAGGAAUACCAGUGGCGAAGGCGGCCUUCUGGACUGACACUGACACUGAGGUGCGAAAGCGUGGGUAGCAAACAGGAUUAGAUACCCUGGUAGUCCACGCCGUAAACGAUGUCGACCAGCCGUUGGGUGCCUAGAGCACUUUGUGGCGAAGUUAACGCGAUAAGUCGACCGCCUGGGGAGUACGGCCGCAAGGUUAAAACUCAAAUGAAUUGACGGGGGCCCGCACAAGCGGUGGAGCAUGUGGUUUAAUUCGAUGCACCGCGAAGAACCUUACCUACCCUUGACAUCUACAGAAGCCGGAAGAGAUUCUGGUGUGCCUUCGGGAACUGUAAGACAGGUGCUGCAUGGCUGUCGUCAGCUCGUGUUGUGAAAUGUUGGGUUAAG
rnacentral:rRNA from 1 species